rnacentral:rRNA from 1 species
UACGUAGGGGGCAAGCGUUGUCCGGAAUCACUGGGCGUAAAGCGCACGUAGGCGGACUCUUAAGUCGGUGGUGAAAUCCUGGAGCUCAACUCCAGAACUGCCUUCGAUACUGAGAGUCUCGAGUCCGAGAGAGGUGAGUGGAACUGCGAGUGUAGAGGUGAAAUUCGUAGAUAUUCGCAAGAACACCAGUGGCGAAGGCGGCUCACUGGCCCGAUACUGACGCUGAGGCACGAAAGCGUGGGGAGCAAACAGG